CACUCCGCGGCGGCAGCGCGGAACCGGGGGGCCCUUAUCCUCCCAGCACAGUAAGGCCAGACGUCCAGCCCCCAGCAGGCCGUUACCUCACCGCUCUCAGGGCUGCCAGCGGAAGAAGCGUGACGGGGCGGAGCGGCGGGUGGGCGGCCGUGGGACCAGCGAGCUGAGGCGCUGCCGCCUGCUGGAUGAUUGAGCGGUGAGGAAAGCUGAGAGAGCUGGAGGGGAGUAGUAGUAACGUUUACGCACGAGAAAGUGAUGGAGCUCGCCAACGGCAAAUCCUGGUUGCAGUGGCUUUUAGUGCUCUGUGAAAACACGUUCUAAACCACGAGAAGUCUCAAAAUUGCAGGAUCUCAAAGGCGGGAAGAGAAGGAUGAUAUGGUAGAAUUGCACUGAAUCAGAGAUGGGCCGCUCCUUUAGUUGAGAAGGGCAGAAAUUAUAGAAUCCUUAGAAUUGAAAGGGACCCUUGAAGCCCAUCUGGUCCAACUCCUCUGCAGCGAACAAGGACACCUACAGCUCCUUCAGAUACACAGAGCCUGUCCAGCCUGACAUUGGGUGCCUCCAGGGAUGGGGUACCACCACCUCUCUGGGCAACCUGUGCCAGUGCCUCACCACCCACGCUGUAAAAGGCUUUUUCCUUACAUCCAACCUAAAUCUACCCUCUUUAAGCUUGAGACCAUCUCCCCUUGUUCUGUCACAACAGACUGUGCUAAAGAGUCUACCCCUUCUUUCCUGUAGCUAAUACAGUGUUCCAAAUGUUCCAGAUGGAGUCAUUUCAGUCCUUUAUAUAAUGCCAUAACAAGAGAGAGUAAUGGAUGAUGUGAAUUUAACGUUGGUGUAAUUUUUACAGGGUUAUUAUUUUAAAUGCCCUUUAGCUUUAAGCUAUUUCCAUCUUACUAGAUGUGCAUUAGUUGAGGAACCUGUUAAAUUGGAUUAGCAUUGCAAGUAUGUAAUGCGCUUUCAUGCUUUUUCUUGUAUUUUAGUAUUUUUCCACUGCACUAUUAGUUUAUAUGAGGGUUUGGGGGAAGUUUUCUUCUGUGUUGUAUUUUGUGUUCUGGUUUGUUUUACACUCAGAAAUUUUAGCAGGAUCUACAAUCUCACACACACAAUGCAAGAGGCAACAGUUUAUUAAACAGCCAAAUUAAUGAGUGGCAUACGUGUUGCUCAAGAGGAGUUAGAAACUGAACCUGGAAAAGCAACUUCACUCCCAAGCCACUGCAAAAAUUGAAAUAUGUAACAAUUCACAUAGCUAACUCAAAGGCAUCAUGUAAGCUACAUUUGAUUUCCUCCCAAAAAUCUUUCCAGUCCUUUCUUAGAAGCACAACACACCUGUGCUUUCACAAUUAAACUAAUGAUUGUGUCUGAACAGAAAAAAAAAAGAGGUACUAUAUCAAGACAUCCACAAACUACUCAGCACAGACAUGGCAAAUGAGUGUAUUUAGGACCCAAAAGACACUUGGAAUAGAAUAGGCAUUUCAUACAGGCUUUUUAAAAAAAUACUUUUAGAUAAUACUUAUACUGUACAGGACGAGACUUUUAAACAAUAUAUUACACUGCUAAAGUGUUCAUAUAAAUACUAUACAGGCACGUGUGCCAAGUGAACCACUAAGAAGGUUCACAAAAAUCUCUGUGGAAAAACUCUGAAUCUUCAAGAUCUCUGAUUUCUGUGAUCCAAGCCACUGAAUCAAGCAAAAGCUAUUUUAAAUUAACUGGGACACGGCAUGAGAUGAACUGCAUUUGUCUGCUGAUUCCCAGUUCCAGUUUUAACAGGUUGUUGUCAUGUUAAUCUGGCAUAUCAAUAUUUAAUUUGGGAGGUGGAAUCACAUAUUUCCCAGGACUCUGUGUAAUGACUACUCCAGUCUUUUUUCGAAACAUUGGUGCAAUUUUUGGUGGCUCAGGAACUGGGGUUUCUUCUGCUUCCUCAUUAUCUUCAUGAUGAAGAUCAUAGGAAAUAUUUCCAUAUUCACGUAGGAAUGGGAAAAUUUCAAGCAGGAACUGGCAGAAGUCUUUGCGAAUUCCAAACCACCCUAAAAAACAAACAAACAAAAAAAACCCUAACAAAACACAAACCACCACCUUUCACGUGACUGUCAAACAGAGUUAGCAGUUAACUGAAGAAACCAAGACUGCUUCAUCUGCCUUCUUACGUUCUCAAUUGUUUUCAUUAGCUAUCUAAAAUUUGUUAGUGCUGUUUCUCAGCAUCACUGACAGCAACCGUAACAUUAUAGAUCAGAUGAUACGUACACAAGUGUGUGUGCAUAUGUACAUAUUACAGCUAUAUACUACAGCAAGAAGCCAGUACAUUUCAUGUUAAGCAGCAACAGAUUACAUCAGUAAAUAAACAGAACAAGAAAGGCCUUGCAUCACUCCAGCAAUCAGUGCCACCUGAGAAGACAAUCAUGCCCAUUUUCUUUUGAGAUGCAUAGGCUACAGUACCAGAGAUGCUGCAAUGACAUAGAUUUACUAAUAUAUGUCAGGCUAUGUGUUCAGUAUUCCCCAAAUACUUCUUUUGUUAGCUAGACUAGCUAGUAGCUAAUAAUACUACUAACUAGUAGUGUCUCAUCCUCGGUAUUAUCUCUUCUAGAUUAGAACAACAGUACCUCUUCAGUUUAUCAUGUACUUUCCAUAUG